UACGGAGGGUGCAAGCGUUAUCCGGAUUUACUGGGUUUAAAGGGUGUGUAGGCGGGUCUUUAAGUCAGUGGUGAAAUCUCCGGGCUCAACCCGGAAACUGCCAUUGAUACUAUAGGUCUUGAAUAUUGUGGAGGUGGGCGGAAUGUGUCAUGUAGCGGUGAAAUGCUUAGAGAUGACACAGAACACCGAUUGCGAAGGCAGCCCACUACGCAACUAUUGACGCUGAGGCACGAAAGCCAGGGGAGCAAACGGG
rnacentral:rRNA from 1 species